UACACUUUAAAUCCUUUAACGAGGAUCUAUUGGAGGGCAAGUCUGGUGCCAGCAGCCGCGGUAAUUCCAGCUCCAAUAGCGUAUAUUAAAGUUGUUGCGGUUAAAAAGCUCGUAGUUGGAUCUCGGUUUCACUCAGGUGGUACACCUUGCGGUGUUCACUAUCUGGGUGGACGUUUCUGUUGGUUCGCUCUUGGUGCUCUUCAUCGGGUGCCAUUUGGUGGCCAGCACGUUUACUUUGAAAAAAUUGGAGUGCUCAAAGCAGGCGUUACAGCCUGAACAUUAGUGCAUGGAAUAAUGGAAUAGGAUCUCGAUUCUAUUUCGUUGGCUUUCGGAGUCGAGGUAAUGAUUAAUAGGGACAGACGGGGGCAUUCGUACUGCGACGUUAGAGGUGAAAUUCUUGGAUCGUCGCAAGACGAACUACUGCGAAAGCAUUUGCCAAGAAUGUUUUCAUUAAUCAAGAACGAAAGUUAGAGGUUCGAAGGCGAUCAGAUACCGCCCUAGUUCUAACCAUAAACGAUGCCAACCGGCGAUCCGUCGUCGUUAAUUGAAUGACUCGACGGGCAGCCUCCGGGAAACCAGAGUGUUUGGGUUCCGGGGGAAGUAUGGUUGCAAAGCUGAAACUUAAAGGAAUUGACGGAAGGGCACCACCAGGAGUGGAGCCUGCGGCUUAAUUUGACUCAACACGGGAAAUCUCACCAGGCCCGGACACCGGAAGGAUUGACAGAUUGAGAGCUCUUUCUUGAUUCGGUGGGUGGUGGUGCAUGGCCGUUCUUAGUUGGUGGAGCGAUUUGUCUGGUUAAUUCCGAUAACGAACGAGACUCUGGCCUACUAACUAGAAGGUCUAUCCUUUAUGGGUAGGCCUCUGCUUCUUAGAGGGACGGGCGGCGUUUAGCCGCACGAGAAUGAGCAAUAACAGGUCUGUGAUGCCCUUAGAUGUUCUGGGCUGCACGCGCGCUACACUGAAGGAAUCAGCAUGUUCUCCCCUCCCUGAAAAGGGCGGGUAACCCGUUGAAACUCCUUCGUGAUGGGGAUUGGAGAUUGUAAUUAUUCUCCAUGAACGAGGAAUUCCCAGUAGGCGCGAGUCAUCAGCUUGCGUCGAUUACGUCCCUGCCCUUUGUACACACCGCCCGUCGCUACUACCGACCGAGUGAUUUAGUGAGGACUUCGGACUGGUCUUCAAGUUGGCUUCGGUCGGCUCGAAGUUCCGGAAAGAUGCCCAAACUUGAUCACUUAGA
rnacentral:rRNA from 1 species